rnacentral:rRNA from 1 species
UACGGAGGGAGCUAGCGUUGUUCGGAAUUACUGGGCGCAAAGCGCACGUAGGCGGCUUUGUAAGUUAGAGGUGAUAGCACUGGAGCUCAACUCCAGAUAUUGCCUUUAAGACUGCAUCGCUUGAAUCCAGCGAGAGGUGAGUGGAAUUCCGAGUGCUAGAGGUGAAAUUCAUAGAUAUUCGGAAGAACACCAGUGGC